rnacentral:rRNA from 1 species
AUUGAACGCUGGCGGCAUGCUUUACACAUGCAAGUCGAACGGUAACAGGCCUUCGGGUGCUGACGAGUGGCGAACGGGUGAGUAAUGCAUCGGAACGUACCCAGAGGUGGGGGAUAACGCAGCGAAAGCUGUGCUAAUACCGCAUGUGAUCUGAGGAUGAAAGCGGGGGACCGAGCAGCAAUGUUUGGCCUCGCGCCUUUGGAGCGGCCGAUGUCGGAUUAGCUAGUUGGUGGGGUAAAGGCCUACCAAGGCGACGAUCCGUAGCUGGUCUGAGAGGACGACCAGCCACACGGGGACUGAGACACGGCCCAGACUCCUACGGGAGGCAGCAGUGGGGAAUUUUGGACAAUGGGCGCAAGCCUGAUCCAGCAAGGCCGCGUGCGGGAAGAAGGCCUUCGGGUUGUAAACCGCUUUUGGCAGGAACGAAACGGUGUCCGCUAAUACCGGGCGCUAAUGACGGUACCUGCAGAAUAAGCACCGGCUAACUACGU